rnacentral:rRNA from 1 species
AGUGAACGCUGGCGGCAGGCCUAACACAUGCAAGUCGAACGGCAGCACAGAGGAGCUUGCUCCUUGGGUGGCGAGUGGCGGACGGGUGAGGAAUGCGUCGGAAUCUGCCUUUUUGUGGGGGAUAACGUAGGGAAACUUACGCUAAUACCGCAUACGACCUACGGGUGAAAGUGGGGGACCGCAAGGCCUCACGCAGAAAGAUGAGCCGACGCCGGAUUAGCUAGUUGGCGGGGUAAAGGCCCACCAAGGCGACGAUCCGUAGCUGGUCUGAGAGGAUGAUCAGCCACACUGGGACUGAGACACGGCCCAGACUCCUACGGGAGGCAGCAGUGGGGAAUAUUGGACAAUGGGCGCAAGCCUGAUCCAGCCAUGCCGCGUGUGUGAAGAAGGCCUUCGGGUUGUAAAGCACUUUUGUCCGGAAAGAAAUCCCUUCGAUUAAUACUCGGGAGGGAUGACGGUACCGGAAGAAUAAGCACCGGCUAACUUCGUGCCAGCCGCCGCCGUAAUAC